GCAAGUGGUCUAACUCGCAGUAUUGUUCUCUUCUUCCCUCAGUGAGCCCCUCCCUGCCUUUUAUUAGCCAGGAGGGAAGACACUGAAGCACUCAUGUGGAGGAGAGUUAGAGAUUGAGGUAUAGAUGUAGGUAGAGAUUGAGGUAUAGAUGUAGGUAGAGAUUGAGGUAUAGAUGUAGGUAGAGAUUGAGGUAUAGAUGUAGGUAGAGAUUGAGUUGUAGAUGUAGGUAGAGAUUGAGGUAUAGAUGUAGGUAGAGAUUGAGGUAUAGAUGUAGGUAGAGAUUGAGGUGUAGAUGUAGGUAGAGAUUGAGGUAUAGAUGUAGGUAGAGAUUGAGGUAUAGAUGUAGGUAGAGAUUGAGGUGUAGAUGUAGGUAGAGAUUGAGGUAUAGAUGUAGGUAGAGAUUGAGGUAUAGAUGUAGGUAGAGAUUGAGGUAUAGAUGUAGGUAGAGAUUGAGGUAUAGAUGUAGGUAGAGAUUGAGGUGUAGAUGUAGGUAGAGAUUGAGGUAUAGAUGUAGGUAGAGAUUGAGGUAUAGAUGUAGGUAGAGAUUGAGG